rnacentral:rRNA from 1 species
AACGGGGGGGGCGAGCGUUAUUCAUAAUCAUUGGGCGUAAAGAGCAUGCAGGCUGUUGAUUAAGUUCAAAUUUAAAUUUCAAAGCUUAACUUUGACACAAGUUUGAAAACUGAUCAACUCGAGUCCCAUAAAGGAUAGUGGAAUUUCUGGUGGAGAGAUUAAAUUCAUAGAUCCCAGAAGGAAGACCAACGGCCGAGGCAACUAUCUUGGUGGAGACUGACGCUGAUGUGCGAAAGCAUGGGGAGCAAACAGG